CCCUGAGAGAGAAGUCCUCCCUAUCUGUUCCAGUUAACUCCUGCACUAGUGAUCUUUGCUUUCCACUGUGGAUGAACAGACCGAUCCAGGUGAAACCAGCGGACAGCGAAAGCCGAGGAGGACAAGCAAAAUACAUGAACUAGUCUCUUAACAGCAUCUUCUCCAUGUAAGCAACUGCUUUCACUAUCAGCAGCACAAUCUGCAACCAGGGCAGGAAGUCCAGUCAUGACUGGGAGUAAGGUUUUCUUUCUACUCUGUGAAAAUUCCUAAGUCACCAGAGGUACAAAGACAAAUUU
rnacentral:lncRNA from 1 species